AGCUUCUUAGCGCAGUGGAAGCGCGCGGGGCUCAUAACCCCGAGGUCGCCGGAUCGAGACCGGCAGAAGCUA